rnacentral:rRNA from 1 species
GACGAACCGUGCGAGCGUUAUUCGGAAUCACUGGGCUUAAAGCGCGUGUAGGCGGAUGGGGACGUCGGUCGUUGAAAGCCCCCGGCUCAACCGGGGAAGUGGCGCCGAAACGCCCCGUCUGGAGGGACGUAGGGGGACCUGGAACUUCCGGUGGAGCGGUGAAAUGCGUUGAGAUCGGAAGGAACGCCCGUGGCUAAAGCGAGGUCCUGGACGUCUGCUGACGCUGAGACGCGAAAGCUAGGGGAGCGAACGGG